UCGUCACACUAUCAUUAACUGAAUCCAUAGGUUAAUGAGGCGAACCGGGGGAACUGAAACAUCUAAGUACCCCGAGGAAAAGAAAUCAACCGAGAUUCCCCCAGUAGCGGCGAGCGAACGGGGAGGAGCCCAGAGCCUGAAUCAGCAUGUGUGUUAGUGGAAGCGUCUGGAAAGGCGCGCGAUACAGGGUGACAGCCCCGUACACAAAAGCGCAUGUGCUGUGAGCUCGAUGAGUAGGGCGGGACACGUGGUAUCCUGUCUGAAUAUGGGGGGACCAUCCUCCAAGGCUAAAUACUCCUGACUGACCGAUAGUGAACCAGUACCGUGAGGGAAAGGCGAAAAGAACCCCGGCGAGGGGAGUGAAAAAGAACCUGAAACCGUGUACGUACAAGCAGUGGGAGCACAGGUUUACCUGUGUGACUGCGUACCUUUUGUAUAAUGGGUCAGCGACUUAUAUUCUGUAGCAAGGUUAACCGUAUAGGGGAGCCGGAGGGAAACCGAGUCUUAACCGGGCGUUAAGUUGCAGGGUAUAGACCCGAAACCCGGUGAUCUAGCCAUGGGCAGGUUGAAGGUUGGGUAACACUAACUGGAGGACCGAACCGACUAAUGUUGAAAAAUUAGCGGAUGACCUGUGGCUGGGGGUGAAAGGCCAAUCAAACCGGGAGAUAGCUGGUUCUCCCCGAAAGCUAUUUAGGUAGCGCCUCGUGAAUUCAUCUCCGGGGGUAGAGCACUGUUUCGGCUAGGGGGCCAUCCCGGCUUACCAACCCGAUGCAAACUGCGAAUACCGGAGAAUGUUAUCACGGGAGACACACGGCGGGUGCUAACGUCCGUCGUGAAGAGGGAAACAACCCAGACCGCCAGCUAAGGUCCCAAAGUCAUGGUUAAGUGGGAAACGAUGUGGGAAGGCCCAGACAGCCAGGAUGUUGGCUUAGAAGCAGCCAUCAUUUAAAGAAAGCGUAAUAGCUCACUGGUCGAGUCGGCCUGCGCGGAAGAUGUAACGGGGCUAAACCAUGCACCGAAGCUGCGGCAGCGAACGUAUCACCCAAGACAACUUUACGGAGUUGACGAUUGACGGAGCGAAGCGACGUCAAAGCGUUCAUUAAAGUCGAGUUGGCUUAGGGAUACGUUCGUUGGGUAGGGGAGCGUUCUGUAAGCCUGUGAAGGUGGCCUGUGAGGGUUGCUGGAGGUAUCAGAAGUGCGAAUGCUGACAUAAGUAACGAUAAAGCGGGUGAAAAGCCCGCUCGCCGGAAGACCAAGGGUUCCUGUCCAACGUUAAUCGGGGCAGGGUGAGUCGACCCCUAAGGCGAGGCCGAAAGGCGUAGUCGAUGGGAAACGGGUUAAUAUUCCCGUACUUGGUGUUACUGCGAAGGGGGGACGGAGAAGGCUAUGUUGGCCGGGCGACGGUUGUCCCGGUUUAAGCGUGUAGGUGUGUGUUCCAGGUAAAUCCGGUUCACUUUAACACUGAGGCGUGAUGACGAGGCACUACGGUGCUGAAGCAACAAAUGCCCUGCUUCCAGGAAAAGCCUCUAAGCAUCAGGUAACAUCAAAUCGUACCCCAAACCGACACAGGUGGUCAGGUAGAGAAUACCAAGGCGCUUGAGAGAACUCGGGUGAAGGAACUAGGCAAAAUGGUGCCGUAACUUCGGGAGAAGGCACGCUGACACGUAGGUGAAGUGAUUUACUCAUGGAGCUGAAGUCAGUCGAAGAUACCAGCUGGCUGCAACUGUUUAUUAAAAACACAGCACUGUGCAAACACGAAAGUGGACGUAUACGGUGUGACGCCUGCCCGGUGCCGGAAGGUUAAUUGAUGGGG
rnacentral:rRNA from 1 species